CAUGGAGCCAGCCAAGGGCGGACCCUUCUGGUAGUAGCACCUCAUUAAAGAUGAUAGCAAGUUGGGUCACAGGCAUUCGGACGGGUGGCCUCUGGAGAAAGCAAAUUUGGCACUGGCAAGAAGUCUCCCCGGGGUGUUUCCCACCCAACUCAGUGCUAGGUUACCCAUCAGACAGGCUAAGCAUGUGCCCCAGCAAAGCAAACAAAUGAGAUACUGUUUCGAUUUUGAUUUUUAAUAAAGAAUUUGAUUAUUUAUUUAUUUUUAAAGGCAUUGAAGUAGCCAUCAUGGGGAAAACCAGAUCUACAUUUCACUGAUGAAUUGUCAGCAGAUGUGCAGACCGUAUUGCCAAAGAAGUCUCGGUGUUUGGCAUGCAGAAGGCACUGCCUUCAAUCGCUUGCACCUCCACCUAGGGCUGGGAGAGACUCCUGCCAGAAACCCACGAGAGAAGCUGCCAGUCAGUGCAGGUAAUACUGAGGCUAUGCUCUCACUUUCUCACUUGGUAUAAGGCGGUUUCAUACAUUCAUAAGGUGGUCUGUGUUGUGCAUCUAUCUAUCUAUCUAUCUAUCUAUCUAUCUAUCUAUCUAUCUAUCUAUCUAUCUAUCUAUCUAUCUAUUUUUUUGUAUAUAAUUUUUAUUAGUUUCCCAUUUAAUAAUAUACAAUCAUAUCAUUGUUAACCACUUUACCUCUGGCUCUUUAGAGCCCAUCGACUUCCUUCCCUCCCGCCUCAUGGCUUUCAAAAUCAACCUUUAUAUCAUUGCAUUUUAUACGUUUUCCAAUUCUAAUUUCACUCGUUACAAAAAGACAUUAAAAUUUAGAUUAGAAUAAAAUGGGAGAAAGUUUCUCAUUACAAGUCUUCAGACAACCCUGCUAGUGAUGUUAAUUGCUUAUUACAGUAAUCUUUCAAAUAUCGUCUAAAUUUACUCCAGUCCUUUUGGAAUACUGGAUCACGCUGGUUUCGGAUUUUUCCUGUCAGCUUCGCCAGUUCCGCAAAGUCCAUCAUUUUCAUCUGCCACUCUUCUUUCGUUGGUAGUUCUUGUUGUCUGUCUAUCAUCUAUCUAUCUAUCUAUCUAUCUAUCAUCUAUCUAUCUAUCAUCUAUCUAUCUAUCACAUGGGUAGGCAAACUAAGGCCCGGGGCUGGAUCCAGCCCAAUCACCUUCUCAAGUGUUUUUACAUGAGUAGAAUGUGUGCUUUUAUUUAAAAUGCAUCUCUGGGUUAUUUGUGGGGCUUGCCUGGUGUUUUUACAUGAGUAGAAUGUGUGCUUUUAUUUAAAAUGCAUCUCUGGGUUAUCUGUGGGGCGUAGGAAUUCGUUCAUUAUUAUUUUUUUCAAAAUACAGUGGUAUCUCAGGUUACAGAUGCUUCAGGUUACAGACUCCGCUAACCCAGAAAUAGUACCUCGGGUUAAGAACUUUGCUACAGGAUGAGAACAGAAAACGCGCAGCAGUGGCGCGAGAGGCCCCACUAGCUAAAGUGAUACCUGUGGUUAAGAACAGUUUCAGGUUAAGAACGGACCUCCAGAACGAAUUAAAUUCUUAACCCAAGGUACCACUGGCUAGUCUGGCCCACCACAAGGUCUGAGGGACAGUGGACCGGCCCCCUGCUUUGGUGGUGAGCCCCUGAUCUCCUACCCUUCCACUCCAAUUUUCUAAUGAAUUCUGGAAACUGUAGUGGGGGGGCGAGGAGUAAGCGGAAGUCUGUAAACAGGAACUAACACCGGCACCUCAUCAGAACACAAUCCCUCAAGUUUCCUCAAUGGUGAGAAAACCACUUGCAAGUCUUUUUUUAUGCUUCCUGCACAAGGCAAGAAAUAUUUGAAGAAGACUGCAAAGAGUGAUGGCUGCAUGUCUUUGCACCUUUCUUUGGGUGCAUUGGCUUUUUUUUUUUUUAAAAGGACAUGUAAAAAAAUAUGACUUGGGGGAGGGCAGUGAGACCAAAGGGAUGUGCUUUUAAAUAAGGUAUUUUCUCCAGCUCUUUGAAAGUCCUCAUUCCAUAUGCACAGGGUGUGUUUCAUAAUGUGAUGCUUUAUGCAUCUGCUUUCGGCUGCUCAGCUGCAGAAAUGCAAGCUCCAGAGCUGGGUUUUGGCAAUGUCAUCAGGAUCUCAGGCACGCAUCGACUUGAUUCCCAGCUCCUUUUGCUGGCUGAGCUGCUUCUUAUAGGUCAGCAGUUGCAAAAGUCCCAUGUCUCCCUCCCCUCUCCCGCCACCAUCUCCAAUCUUUGUGAAAUCAGCAAAACUGUCUCUUUCGUGCCAGCACACGGGAUGUUUUGCUUUACAUAUUCAUAUUCUAUUCAGCGGCAGAGUCGAUUCACAUGCUUUUUUUCCUUUAAGCAAAAACAAAACAGGUUGCGUUUCUUGCGAAACCUUUGGCAAAGAUCCACAGCCGUGCUUGUCAGGACUGCUCAUCAAAAGAUCCUUGCAGGUGGAUCGUAACAAAACAUUUAUUGCGUUACCCUAGAACUCUUAUUUCACACAGGGCAUAGUUUAACUGUGGAACUCACUGCCACAGGAGGCAGUAAUGGUGAUCAACCUUGUUGUUGUUUAGUCGUGUCCGACUAUUCGUGACCCCAUGGUCCAGAGCACUCCAGGCACUCCUGUCUUCCACUGCCUCCCGCAGUUUCGUCAAACUCAUACUGGUAGCUUCAAGAACACUAUCCAACCGUCUCGUCCUCUGUCGUCCCCUUCUCCUUGUGCCCUCCAUCUUUCCCAACAUCAGGGUCUUUUCCAGGGAGUCUUCUCUUCUCAUGAGGUGGCCAAAGUACUGGAGUCUCAGCUUCAGGAUCUGUCCUUCCAGUGAGCACUCAGGGCUGAUUUCCUUCAGAAUGGAUAGAUUUGAUCUUCUUGCAAUCCAUGGGACUCUCAAGAGUCUCCUCCAGCACCAUAAUUCAAAAGCCUCGAUUCUUUGGCGAUCAGCCUUUUUCUUCUUAUUAUUUUAUAAUAAUUUUAUUAGGUUUUACAAAUAUUUUCCAACAUAACAUCAUUUUUAUAUAAUCAUCAAAGCUACAUUUGGCUAUAUAAGCCUGAGACCUCCCUCAUCCUCGUCUGUUGGUUUUCCCACCUAAUCUCUAAUAAUGCAUUUUCAUAAUUUUUUAUUAUUAUUAAAUCUUAAUCUUUGUCAAUCAUUUAUAUAUUAUACUACUACUAAUUAAUAAUCAUUUAACCUUAUAAAACUUAUUGUAACCCUACUAGCAAUGUCAAUCGUUUUCAAUUGUCUUUCAAAUAUAUCAUAAAUUUAUUCCAGUCUUUCAGAAAAGUCUGGUCCUGCUGGUUCCGAAUUUCCCCUACCAAUUGUAGCAAAUUCUGUAUAUUCCAGUAGUUUCAUCUGCCAUUCUUCUUUUGUUGGUAUCUCUUGUUUCCAUCUAUGGGCUAAUAAUAUUCUUGCUGCAUUUGCUGCAUAUAAAAACAAUGUUUUAUCUUGCUUAUGUAUUUCUCUACCUACAAUACCUAUCAAGCAGGCUUCUGGUGUUUUUUUAUAAAUGUAUAUUAGGUGAAGGCUUUUUGGGAAAUGAUAUAUAACGAGCUUAAAAAAAUAUACAUUUUGGAAGGUGUUUCAUUACGAACCAGAAUCAUAGAAAUAAUGGUAAAGGUAAAGGGACCCCUGACCAUUAGGUCCAGUCGUGACCAACUCUGGGGUUGCAGCGCUCAUCUCGCUUUAUUGGCCGAGGAAGCCAGCGUACAGCUUCCGGAUCAUGUGGCCAGCAUGACUAAGCCGCUACUGGCGAACCAGAGCAGCGCACGGAAACGCCUUUUACCUUCCUGCCAGACUGGUACCUAUUUAUCUACUUGCACUUUGAUGUGCUUUUGAACUGCUAGGUUGGAAGGAGCAGGGACCGAGCAACGGGAGCUCACCCCGUUGCAGGGAUUCGAACCACCGACCUUCUGAUCGGCAAGUACUGGGCUCUGUGGUUUAACCCACAGCGCCACCCGCGUCUGUUUCAUUACGAACCAGAAUCAUAGAAAUAAUGGUAGGAAUCUCUUUAUUUGAUGGUGGCUAUUAACUGAAGCGUGCUUUUAUGUUCCCCUCUCCCUAGCAGGACAAGAAGAGUUUUGGGAAGCCUGUAAAAUGAAUGCUGCUUCCUGUCCAGCCCCACACCCCAAUGCACUUACUGGCAAAUAAAGUGUAUCCACAGAAAAUCUGGGCAAUACAUGUCUUAUUUAACUUGUAAGGCCGAUUGAAUGUUGCCGC
rnacentral:lncRNA from 1 species